GCUGCGACGCUCGCUUCCUGGGUGAGCGAUAUUUCGAGACACAGGUCAGCGAUGAAAAGGGAAAAAUGCCGAUGCGGACGUAACACAAUUCUCCUUCCUCUCUUAUGGCGUGCGGCUUAUUGCUGGGUGGCAGCAGACUUCUGAAAGCAAGGGAGGGCAAUCAUUUCGAUUGAAACUCUAGCAGACUGGUAACCUCCUCACAAUUUAUAACUAAUACCGCGGACCUCAGUGACUCUCAACCUAUGGGUUGCUGGCCAACACACCAAGAAGAAAAUAUUUUGAAGUGUUGCGGAUCAUGACAGCUUUCCUAACCUGUAUAGUCGUCAGCUUUAACUUAAAAUAUCUCAAUUCGCGGAGCAGAGUGACACUUUUCUUGUAGAUUCUUCAUUUUCAUAAGAAAACGCAUCGAUAUAUUUUUAUCAAAAUUUGAGUGAAUCGAAAUAUCUUCUUUACCAUAUAUUUUUUUUAAUUAUAAAAAAAAAAGAGAUGAUCAGAGUUGCAAUACAGGAAGUUGGAAAGGAGUAAGAAAGAUAUAGAUGCUAAGACGAAUUAUGAGGGCAAGAAGAAGCAAGAUAGAGACGAAAGGACUUGAGAGAAGACUAGAAAGAAAGGGAAUGAGAUAUCGGUGAGAAAGGAAAGAUGCUAAAUAAGAAAAGGGCCUGAAAGAAAAUACGGCAUAAUAAAAGACUUUACUAUUUCUCCGUCCAAUUUCUUUUUUCUUGGAAGAAACUUGGAAGAAACUGUUUUUGCAAGAUCUUUAUCUGAGAUGUAACAACGAAAAAGAGAUAAAAGAAACGAGAUAAAAUAUUAGAAAUAAAAGAGAUGCGAGACGAGUGAACGAGAUAAAGACGAAAAAUAAGAGAUGAAAAAAGAAAGAAAUUAGACAAAGGCGAAAGAUGGGGGCGAAAGAGGGAGGACUGAUAAGAGACUAAAGAGAAACGAAACUAGAUAUUGAUGAGAGAGGAGAGAUGAGAGAUGAAAAAUGAGAAAAAAGCGAGAAAGAAAAAACGAGAUACAGCAAUGACGAAAUAAGGAUGAGUAGCGAGAAAUUGGUAGGAAGAAAGAGAUUUAAGGCGAGUGAUGAGACGUGAUAGAUGCAAGAGAUGAGAGAAGAAAAAAGCUGGAUAGAGCUGAAAGAUGAAAGAGGAGAUUCGAAAGAUGGGAAAUGAGAGAGAAACGAGAUAAACGUAAUUCAAAAUACACAUGGAGGAGAAACUUUAACUUCAAAAUUUAAUCUUGAAAUUAAAUAUAAUGACGUAAAAGGGUUUACACAGGCGAGUUAAGAAAUUGUGAGUAAGAAAUUGAAAGUAAGAAAGAGACGUCAGACGAGAGAUGAGAGAGGAAAGAAUUGAGAUAGAUGCGAAAGACAAGAGACUAGAAAGUGAUAUUGGUGAGAAAGCAGUGACGAGAGAUGGAAAACAAGAAAGAGACGAGACAGAGACAAAACGAGUUACAGUUAAAACAAAUUUGCGAUUAUUUUCACGCUUUGUCGUGAAAAUUAGGCGAAAACGAUAAAAAUAAGAGAAGAAAAGGAGAUAUUGAAAGAAGAAUAUAAAG